rnacentral:lncRNA from 10 species
CGCCUCCCAGGUUCAAACGAUACUCCUGCCUCAGCCUCCCCAGUAGCUGGGAUUACAGGUGCCUGCCACCAUGCCUGGCUAAGUUUUUGUAUUUUUAGUGGAGACGGGGUUUCACCAUGUUGGCCAGGAUGGUCUCGAACUGCUGACCUCAGGUGAUCCACCCACCUUGGCCUCCCAAAAUGCUGGGAUUACAGGCGUGAG